UACCAGCUCUCCGAGUUGUAGGGAUGAUUAUUGGGCUUAAAGCGUCCGUAGCCGGCUUAGCAAGUCUCCUGUUAAAUUCAGCGACCUAAUCGUUGAGCCGCGGGAGAUACUACUUGGCUAGGAGGCGGGAGAGGUCGACGGUACUUUCGGGGUAGGGGUGGAAUCCUAUAAUCCCGGGAGGACCACCAGUGGCGAAGGCUGUCGACUAGAACGCGCUCGACGGUGAGGGACGAAAGCUGGGGGAGCGAACCGGAUUAGAUACCCGGGUAGUCCCAGCUGUAAACGAUGCGGGCUAGGUGUUGGGGUAGCUACGGGCCACUUCAGUGCCGCAGGAAAGCCAUUAAGCCCGCCGCCUGGGGAGUACGGCCGCAAGGCUGAAACUUAAAGGAAUUGGCGGGGGAGCACCACAAGGCGUGAAGCUUGCGGUUC
rnacentral:rRNA from 1 species